UACGGAGGAUCCAAGCGUUAUCCGGAUUUAUUGGGCUUAAAGGGUGCGUAGGCGGACUGUCAAGUCAGCGGUGAAAGUUCCCGGCUCAACCGGGGAAUUGCCGUUGAAACUGUCAGUCUUGAGUAUAGAUGAGGUGGGCGGAAUUCGUAGUGUAGCGGUGAAAUGCUUAGAUAUUACGAAGAACUCCAAUUGCGAAGGCAGCUCACUGGGCUAUAACUGACGCUGAGGCACGAAGGUGCGGGGAUCAAACAGG
rnacentral:rRNA from 1 species